CCCUGGAAACCCCUAACUAUGCUUUUGCUAGGCUGUGUCCCUUUGAUGAUGCCCCAGCAUGCUACAGGAGACAUGGGAUAUCUGUAUUUUUCUUCAGGACAAAUGCAAUUUAGAUUCUUUUGACAUCAUGGUAUUCCCUGAUUCUUAGCCAUAAAACAUCACCUGGAGAAUAAAGUGCUUCUAGAUAUUUGGGCAUAUGAGAGAACUUUAUUUAGUUUUUGGCAUCCUUGUGAUAUGUUUUGACAGAAAAAAAUGGAACUUCCUCCAUCUUUUUGACCUGAACCAUUUUAUUUACAUACCUCCUUCAGUCUAUGGUUCUGCAAUCAACAAGUCAAGGAUGAAAAAGUGGGCCACGAUGAUGCUUCUAAAUCAGAGGUUGGCCCUGAUGGAAAGGAGACACAGGAGGCAGCUUCAAACUAAAAACCUAGCAGCAGCAAAGCUGCAUCUUCUUCCAAAGAGACCCCAGCAGCAACGGAAGCCCCUAGCUCUCUGCUUAAGUCUCAGGAAACUGCAGCCCCAGAAGAGGAGGCUCUGACAGCUAAUGUGGGUCAAACUAUAGCAGUGAAUGAGUAACAUGGACAACCUAUUGAAAAAAUAAAAAUAACGAAAUAAUAAUAACCA
rnacentral:lncRNA from 1 species